rnacentral:rRNA from 1 species
GACGAACGCUGGCGGCGUGCUUAACACAUGCAAGUCGAACGGUAAGGCCCCAGCUUGCUGGGGUACACGAGUGGCGAACGGGUGAGUAACACGUGGGUGACCUGCCCCGCACUUCGGGAUAAGCCUGGGAAACUGGGUCUAAUACCGGAUAGGACCGCACCGUGAGGGUGUGGCGGAAAGUUUUUCGGUGUGGGGUGGGCCCGCGGCCUAUCAGCUUGUUGGUGGGGUAGUGGCUUACCAAGGCUUUGACGGGUAGCCGGCCUGAGAGGGUGACCGGCCACAUUGGGACUGAGAUACGGCCCAG